rnacentral:tRNA from 1 species
ACCCUAGUAGCUCAGCUGGACAGAGCAACGGAUUCCUAAUCCGUAGGUCGGAGGUUCAAGUCCUCUCUAGGGUACCA